rnacentral:rRNA from 1 species
CCUACGGGGGGCUGCAGUGAGGAAUAUUGCGCAAUGGGGGAAACCCUGACGCAGCGACGCCGCGUGAGUGAGGAAGGCCUUCGGGUCGUAAAGCUCUGUCAAGAGGAAAGAAGUGUACAAUGGCUAAUACCUGUUGUAUUUGACGGUACCUCUAAAGGAAGCACCGGCUAACUCCGUGCCAGCAGCCGCGGUAAUACGGAGGGUGCAAGCGUUGUUCGGAAUCACUGGGCGUAAAGGGCGCGUAGGCGGCUUGGUGAGUCAGAUGUGAAAGCCCACGGCUUAACUGUGGAAGUGCAUUUGAAACUGUCAGGCUUGAGUACCAGAGGGGAAAGUGGAAUUCCCGGUGUAGAGGUGAAAUUCGUAGAUAUCGGGAGGAAUACCGGUGGCGAAGGCGGCUUACUGGGCCGGAACUGACGCUGAGACACGAAAGCGUGGGGAGCAAACAGGAUUAGAUACCCCGGUAGUC